rnacentral:rRNA from 1 species
CAGCCGCCGCGGUAAUACGGAGGGGGCUAGCGUUGUUCGGAAUUACUGGGCGUAAAGCGCACGUAGGCGGCUUUGCAAGUCAGAGGUGAAAGCCCGGGGCUCAACCCCGGAAUUGCCUUUGAGACUGCAGGGCUAGCAGGUGAGAGAGGUGAGUGGAAUUCCGAGUGUAGAGGUGAAAUUCGUAGAUAUUCGGAAGAACACCAGUGGCGAAGGCGGCUCACUGGCUCAUACUGGACGCUGAGGUGCGAAAGCGUGGGGAGCAAACAGGAUUAGAUACCCCAGUAGUCCCUGUCUCUUAUAC